GAUGAACGCUGGCUGCGUGCCUAAUACAUGCAAGUCGAGCGAACAGACGAGGAGCUUGCUCCUCUGACGUUAGCGGCGGACGGGUGAGUAACACGUGGAUAACCUACCUAUAAGACUGGGAUAACUUCGGGAAACCGGAGCUAAUACCGGAUAAUAUAUUGAACCGCAUGGUUCAAUAGUGAAAGACGGUUUUGCUGUUACUUAUAGAUGGAUCCGCGCCGCAUUAGCUAGUUGGUAAGGUAACGGCUUACCAAGGCAACGAUGCGUAGCCGACCUGAGAGGGUGAUCGGCCACACUGGAACUGAGACACGGUCCAGACUCCUACGGGAGGCAGCAGUAGGGAAUCUUCCGCAAUGGGCGAAAGCCUGACGGAGCAACGCCGCGUGAGUGAUGAAGGUCUUCGGAUCGUAAAACUCUGUUAUUAGGGAAGAACAAAUGUGUAAGUAACUAUGCACGUCUUGACGGUACCUAAUCAGAAAGCCACGGCUAACUACGUG
rnacentral:rRNA from 1 species